rnacentral:rRNA from 1 species
CGGAUAGUGCUUGUCCUGCGGCCGGGGUAUUACGGGUGGGGGGACGGUUGUCCGGAAACACUUGGCGUAAAGGGCGCGUAGGUGGCGCUCCAAGUGCGUGGUGAAAGCUCUAUGCUGAACAUCGAGGCGGCCACGGGGACUGGAGGGCUCGAGCACUGUAGGGGCAGAUGGAAUUCCGGGUGUGGCGGUGGAAUGCGUAGAGAUCCGGAAGAACACCGGUGGCGAAGGCGGUCUGCUGGGCAGUAGCUGACACUGAGGCGCGACAGCGUGGGGAGCAAACAGGAUUAGAUACCCGAGAGUC